CAAUAGCGUAUAUUAAAGCUGUUGCGGUUAAAAAGCUCGUAGUUGGAUUUCUGUCAAGUACAACUGGUCCGCCCUCCGGGUGAGCACAUAGUUUGGUCUUGGCAUCUUGCUGGAAAUUGUUGAUGCACUUGGCUGUGUGGCGCAGUGUCCAGCACUUUCACUUUGAGGAAAUUGGAGUGUUUCAAGCAGGCAAUGCCUUUGAACACAGUAGCAUGGAAUAAUUAGAUUGGGCUUUUGCUCCAAUUUGUCGGUUUCUGGAGCUGAGGUGAGAAUUAAUGGGGAUUGUUGGGGGCAUCCGAAUUUAGCCGUCAGAGGUGAAAUUCUUGGAUUUGUUAAAGACGGACUACUGCGAAAGCAUUUGCCAAGGAUGUUUUCAUUGA
rnacentral:rRNA from 1 species